CAGCAGUAGCCGCGGGAAUACAGAGGGUGCGAGCGUUAAUCGGAUUUACUGGGCGUAAAGCGUGCGUAGGCGGCUUCUUAAGUCGGAUGUGAAAUCCCUGAGCUUAACUUAGGAAUUGCAUUCGAUACUGGGAAGCUAGAGUAUGGGAGAGGAUGGUAGAAUUCCAGGUGUAGCGGUGAAAUGCGUAGAGAUCUGGAGGAAUACCGAUGGCGAAGGCAGCCAUCUGGCCUAAUACUGACGCUGAGGUACGAAAGCAUGGGGAGCAAACAGGAUUAGAUACCCCCGUAGUCCCUGUCUCUUAUAA
rnacentral:rRNA from 1 species